GAUGAACGCUGGCGGCGUGCUUAACACAUGCAAGUCGAACGAUGAAGCCCAGCUCGCUGGGUGGAUUAGUGGCGAACGGGUGAGUAACACGUGAGUAACCUGCCCUUAACUCUGGGAUAAGCCUGGGAAACUGGGCCUAAUACCGGCUAGGAGCGUCCACCGCAUGGUGGGUGUUGGAAAGAUUUAUCGGUUUUGGAUGGACUCGCGGCCUAUCAGCUUGUUGGUGAGGUAAUGGCUCACUAAGGCGACGACGGGUAGCCGGCCUGAGAGGGUGACCGGCCACACUGGGACUGAGACACGGCCCAGACGCCUACGGGAGGCAGCAGUGGAGAAUAUUGCGCAAUGAGCGCAAGCCAGAUACAACGACGCCGCGUGAGGGAUGACGGCCUUCGGGUUGUAAACCUCUGUCAGUAGGGAAGAAGCGAAAGUGACGGUACCUGCAGAAGAAGCACCGGCUAACUACGUG
rnacentral:rRNA from 1 species